CCCCUCUCAGUGUCACCCCUGGAGAGUUGCCAGUAUUCUACCAGUCUCAGCUAUGGGAGGCAGAGUCAAGCAGAGACCUGUCCAUUCCAUUCCUAGCUUGGCCAGUGGCUAGCAAGUGGAAGGCAAUCUGCCACAAGU
rnacentral:snoRNA from 1 species